rnacentral:rRNA from 1 species
AAUCUUCCGCAAUGGACGAAAGUCUGACGGAGCAACGCCGCGUGAGUGAUGAAGGUCUUCGGUUCUUAAACCUCUGCUGUUAGGGAAGAACAAGUCUCGUUCGAACACGGCUCUACCUUGACGGUACCUACCCAUAAACCCACCUCUCACUACGUUCCACCAGCCGCGGUAAUACGUAGGUGGCAUGCGUUAUACGGAAUUAUUGGGCGUAAAGCGCGCGCAGGCGGUUUCUUAAGUCUGAUGUGAAAGCCCACGGCUCAACCGUGGAGGGUCAUUGGAAACUGGGAAGCUUGAGUGCAGAAGAGGAGAGUGGGAUUCCAUGUGUAGCGGUGAAAUGCGUAGAGAUAUGGAGGAACACCAGUGGCGAAGGCGACUCUCUGGUCUGCAACUGACGCUGAGGCGCGAAAGCGUGGGGAGCGAACA